rnacentral:lncRNA from 1 species
CCAUGGGGAUUGUCACUGAACUGGGAGCUCCCGGGGGCCACCCUCCUGGGGGCGCUGACCACCUUGUGUCUGGCAGCUCUGCGCUCCGGGAAGAGAGGCUGCUGCUGGUGCAGACGGGCUCCAGCUCCCCGUGCCUCGACCUCAGGUAACCCCGCACCCUGCACCUGUUCUCUCCCUCCUGGGCUCUGUGCCCUCUGUGCCGUGCACCUUGCGCUGCGAGAGCCUCAAGCUGGCCGUCAUCAAGAACACGUGGCUGGCCGAGCGGCUGGGCGGCCGGCUCUUCAGCGUCAUCUUCAAGUACGAGGUCCCGGCCGAGUGAGGCACUGCGGCUGCCGGACUCUUCUGCUUGUCACUUGUCAGGAAUGUAUUUUUACCACCACAGGGAAACUGCGUUCAAAUCAACGUAUUUAUAUGGUACUGCUGUGACACGGCACAUACGCCCCAGCCGCACAGAUGCGUGUGAUCCAGAGGCAAGACGCAGCUUUGUCCUGGGAGACGUUCGUAUUGGAAUCUAUUUAACUGCUAAAGAACCUUUUAUAUAUAUAUAUAUAUAAAUAGAGAGAUCUAUACAGGUAUGUCUGACGGGACGCAGCACCGUGGGCACGCACCAAAUAGAGUUUUUAAAAGAGGCCGGAGCCAUCUGCGCUGUUUUAUUUCGGAGCAGGGGCCCCUCCCGACUCCUCCCAUGGGGGGAGCCCAGAGCGGGAGCCCUUCCCUGCGCUGCUUCUAGACCUUGUGGGCAACAAGCGCCAGCCGCCCUGCAGACCCCCUGGCCCCGGGCCCCUGCGUCUCUCGCCGCUCCCUCCGGGCCAGAAGAACCGACUCAGCCACCCUCGUCCCUCCAGCGCCCUCCCCCUGCACCUGCGGGAUGUGUGGGUGCUGAGCAGCAAUUCCUGACUCGAGAGCCUGGGAAAGGAGCCCUCGGCAUCGAUCACCCUCAAGGGCUCUCAGGCAGCCAGGCGCUGACGUGGACCCUGCUAGGAGCUGUGCGGACCACGUGGGUUUUGUUGCUAUGGCC